GCAGUGGUGGUUCAGUGGUAGAAUUCUUGCCUCCCUCAGGGAGACCCCGGUUCGAUUCCUGGCCGAUGCA
rnacentral:tRNA from 1 species